CCAUCCGCCAGAGAAUACAAGAGAAAAUCUUAAAACUCAAAGGACUUGACGGUGGCCUACACCAACCUAGAGGAGCCUGUCUUAUAAUCGAUAAUCCACGAUACACCUCACCACCCCUCGCAACAAAUAAGCCUAUAUACCGCCGUCGCCAGCCUACUUAAUGAUAACCAAAAAGUAAGCAAAAUAGUCGCUCACCCACUAACACGUCAGGUCAAGGUGUAGCUAAUGGAGUGGCCAACGAUGGGCUACAUUUUCUAUUAACCAGACCAAGCCAUAAGCUUUAUGAAACUUAGGCCGAAAGUCGGAUUUAGCAGUAAGCACAGACAAGAUAUGUCUAACUGAAGACUGCCCCAGGCCGCGUACACACCG
rnacentral:rRNA from 1 species